rnacentral:lncRNA from 1 species
GAAAUAUAUUUCAAUGAUUAAAAUUAACAGGAUGUACCACAGACUAGAUGUGAGAGGCAUAAAGAUUGACUGUAAAGAUUGUAGCCUGAGCACCCGGAAAGAAAGGAAUUCCUAUAAAUACACAGAGAGUAGAAAGAAUUUACCAAAGGCCAGUUAAGAGUGAUGGAAAAUACAGACAUCCUAAUUUUGAGAGGCCAAUUAAACAUUCAGGUAAAGAGGGGCAACUAUAUCCUGAAUUAAAGGUAGGGAUUCAGAUAAAUAUUUAAAUUUAGGGAAUUUUCAGCAUACAAAUGGUACCAAAACCAUAAGAAUGAAAGAUCACUCAUUCAUUAAGAAUGAGAAAAGAGGAGGGAUUUGAGGUCUGAGCCUUGGGCAUUCCAAAGUUAAGAAGUGAGGUUACGAAGAAGAACCAGGAAUGGAAAAUGAAAAGGAAAAGCCAGUGAAGUCAAAGGUAAACCAGGUUUGUCCUGGAAGACACGUGAAAGAACUUGCCAAGGAGGAAGUAAUAGUCAAUUUUGUCUGAUUCCACUCAUAGGUCAGACAAACUUCUGUACAAGGGCUGAAGACAGGACAAGAUGUGCUGAUGUAUAAAAAGUCUAAAUCUGCAGCAUAAUCGUGAAGAGAUGAGGAAAGCCACGUACUCAGAGCCUCACUUAAAGGAAAUGAAACAGUAAAACUGAAUCAGAUUUGGCUCUUCACUUCUGCCUUCAGUGCUGUCCAGACUCAGACAUUAUAUCAUUCUAGAUCCUUCCAAAAAAGAGCCCGCAUAGCCAAGACAAUCCUCGGCAAGAAGAACAAAGCUGGAGGCAUCACACUACCUGACUUCAAACUAUACUACAAGGCUACAGUAACCAAAACAGCAUGGUACCUGUACCAAAACAGAUGUAUAGACCAAUGGAACAAAACAAAGGCCUCAGAAAUAACACCACACAUCUACAACCACCUGAUCUUUGACAAACCUGACAAAAACGAGCAAUGGGGAAAGGAUUCUCUAUUUAAUAAAUGGUGUUGGAAAAACCGGCUAGCCAUAUGCAGAAAACUGAAACUGGGCCCAUUCCUUACACCUUAUACAAAAAUCAACUGAAGAGAUCAAAGACUUAAACGUAAGACCUAGUACCAUAAAAAUCCUAGAAGAAAACCUGGGCAAUACCAUUCAGGACAUAGGCAUGGGCAAAGACUUCACAUCUAAAACACCAAAAUCAAUGGCAACAAAAGCCAAAAUUGACAAAUGAGAUCUAAUUAAACUAAAGAGUUUCUGCAUAUCAAAAGAAAC